rnacentral:rRNA from 1 species
GACAGAGGGGGCAAGCGUUGCUCGGAAUUACUGGGCGUAAAGGGCGCGUAGGCGGGAUGGCAAGUCGGUCGUGAAAUCCCUCGGCUCAACCGAGGAACGUCGAUCGAUACUGCUGUUCUUGAGGAUUGCAGAGGAGACUGGAAUUCCCGGUGUAGCGGUGAAAUGUGUAGAGAUCGGGAGGAACACCGGUGGCGAAGGCGGGUCUCUGGGCAAUUCCUGACGCUGAGGCGCGAAAGCGUGGGGAGCAAGCGGG